UACGUAGGGACCGAGCGUUGUCCGGAAUCAUUGGGCGUAAAGAGCGUGUAGGCGGCUUGCUAAGUCUUGCGUGAAAUCUCGGGGCUCAACCCCGAGCGGUCGUGGGAAACUGGCAGGCUAGAGUGCGGGAGAGGAGAAUGGAAUUCCUGGUGUAGCGGUGAAAUGCGUAGAGAUCGGGAAGAACAUCGGUGGCGAAAGCGGCGUUCUGGACUGCAACUGACACUGAGGAACGAAAGCCAGGGGAGCAAACGGG
rnacentral:rRNA from 1 species